rnacentral:rRNA from 1 species
CCUACGGGGGGCAGCAGUGGGGAAUAUUGCGCAAUGGGCGAAAGCCUGACGCAGCGACGCCGCGUGGAGGAUGAAGGCCUUCGGGUCGUAAACUCCUGUCAAGAGGGAAGAACCGUAUGCGGAAUAAUACGCCGCAUGCCUGACGGUACCUCUAGAGGAAGCACCGGCUAACUCCGUGCCAGCAGCCGCGGUAAUACGGAGGGUGCAAGCGUUAAUCGGAAUCACUGGGCGUAAAGCGCGCGUAGGCGGCUUGGUAAGUCAGGUGUGAAAGCCCCCGGCCCAACCGGGGAAUUGCACUUGAUACUGCUAGGCUAGAGUUCAGGAGAGGGUGGCGGAAUUCCAGGUGUAGGAGUGAAAUCCGUAGAUAUCUGGAGGAACACCGGUGGCGAAGGCGGCCACCUGGACUGACACUGACGCUGAGGUGCGAAAGCGUGGGUAGCAAACAGGAUUAGAUACCCCCGUAGUC